UUCUCCAUGUUGGUCAGGCUGGUCUCAAACUCCUGACCUCAGGUGAUCUACCCACCUUGGCCUCCCAAAGUGCUGAGAUUACAGGGGUGAGCCACCGUGCCUAGUCAGAAAUAAUAUUUAAAAUGUGUAGUAGCACACUACUUAAUUAAAUAAGCAUUAUGUAGGAUAUUGAAAUAAUGUUGCCCUUCAAAGACCUGUAUUCAAUACAAGAAUGAAACUUAUAAAUGUUUAAACAUUUGCAAAAAAAAAUAGUAAUUCCGGGGGAAGUGUUGGCUAGUACAAGACAGACAUUUUACUGUGGCAUGCUGGCUCGGACUGAAGAAAAAAUUCAUAUUUUUUAAAAAAUGAGAUAAAAGUGAGAUAAUUUUUUUGGGGGUGAGAUAAUCUGUGCUAAAAAAAAUUAAAGGUAUCCCUGUUUGGUAAACUUCACUUGGAAUAUUCCAAGUCUCCAAGAUUUGUAAAAUUUAAUGAAAUAUUUGACUUUAGGCUGGGCACAGCGGCUCAUGCCUAUAAUCCUGGCACUUUGGGAGGGUAAGGUAGGGGGAUAUCUUGAGCCCAGGAGUUUGAGACCAGCCUGGGCAACAUAGUGAGUCCUCUCUCUAUCCAAAAAAAAAAAAAAGUUAGCUGGGUGUGAUGGCACAUGCCUGUAAUCACAGCUACUCUGGAGGCUGAUGUGGGAGGAUGGCUUGAGCCUAGGAGGUCGAGGCUGCAGUGAGCCAUGAUCACAUCACUGUACUCCAGUCUGGGCAACAGAGCGAGAUGGAUUCCCUACUAAAUGAAAUAAAAAGACUUACAGUCCUUGUAUAUUACAUGCAUUCCUGCUGCACAGAUAUAAAGAGGCUCUUAAAGUUCAUUUAAGAACGCUGAAAGUAAUAUAACAAGGAACAAGGUUGUUAAAUACUUACAGUGUAGAUUUAAAAUCAAGUAAUUGUGUGUAUUUUCUGCACCACUGGAUGUAUUUAUACAAUUGUUAGCAUAAAUUGUGUGUUCCAUUUCUCAUUAGCAAUUUUAUCUCCCUACUGAAUGCUAGACUUUUAGUUGUUAUUUGUUAUAGCUUAAUUUGUUUCCCGACAGUGAAAAGAGAUAUGGACUUGUAGAUUUUCAGCUAUUUCAUCUUACAAAGCUAGUGUAACCUGACUACAGAUGACUCCAGGGGUAUAUUACUUUAAAAGGAAUUUGGACUAUUACUCAGCAGUCUGUAAGACACAUUCUUUUUUCAGCAUUUAGGGGGAGUUGAGAGAAGCUAUGGCAAGCCAUCUCACCAUUAAAUCUCCUCUACACCACUGCUGCCCUGGCUCAGACCCUUACCAUCUCUCAGGGAAGCCAUUGCAAUUCCUUCCCUAUUGGUCCUCCCCACAGUGUGACUUAUCAGACACACUGAAAUCGGAGUAAAUUUUCUAGAAUAGAUUAGACCAUGUCUCUUCCUUGCUU
rnacentral:sRNA from 1 species